AACGAACGCUGGCGGCAUGCCUAACACAUGCAAGUCGAACGAGACCUUCGGGUCUAGUGGCGCACGGGUGCGUAACGCGUGGGAACCUGCCCUUAGGUUCGGAAUACCUCCCCGAAAGGGGUGCUAAUACCGGAUAAUGUCUUCGGACCAAAGAUUUAUCGCCUUUGGAUGGGCCCGCGUUGGAUUAGCUAGUUGGUAGGGUAAAAGCCUACCACGGCGACGAUCCAGAGCUGGUCUGAGAGGAUGAUCAGCCACACUGGGACUGAGACACGGCCCAGACUCCUACGGGAGGCAGCAGCGGGGAAUAUUGGACAAUGGGCGAAAGCCUGAUCCAGCAAUGCCGCGUGAGUGAUGAAGGCCUUAGGGUUGUAAAGCUCUUUUACCCGGGAUGAUAAUGACAGUACCGGGAGAAUAAGCUCCGGCUAACUACGUG
rnacentral:rRNA from 1 species